UUCUAGGCUGUAGUUCAGUGGUAGAGCUCCUGCUUAGCAUGCAGGUGGUCCCUGGCAUUUACAAGUAGGGCUGGGAAA